CUCCAGUCGAACGGUUUAACUGGCCUUCAUUAAUGAAUCUGACAUUUCCUCUGCCCAAGACCACUGAAAAGUAAAAGCAAAUCCCCUAAAAUCUUUUGCUUAUCUGUUAGCUUUUCAAUCGGCACCAUUUCUUUCAUUUCAAACGUCACAACACUAUGCCAAAAUCCAAAGUUGUUUCCCCUUUUCUUUUACUCUGAAAAACCCAAGCGAUUUUACUGCAAUUCUCCUUCAGAUGAACUUGAAAUCCCUCCCUCCAGAUGCAACGUUGUCAUGAAGAAUUGAUUUAGCUGCAACGAUUCUGCCCCCUCAUUUUUAAAUACUAGGCCUGACGUAGAUCUGGAGUUUUGUGAGUCAAAAGCUGCAUUGAAAAAGAUAGCCGUAUUCGCCCUUUGUAUACUUUGUCUAUGCCUCGCGUUGGCUUCCAAGUUGAGUUCCCUGUCUUGAAUACCUUCCAAUUCUAAAAUUUAGCUUUAAUUUGUUUGGAUAUGUCCUAAUUGGUGCUUGGUUUGCCUUCGUAUAAUAAUUUAUUUCUAUUUGUCUAGAUUAGCCAGAGCCCACAACAAAACAUUCUGCACUGCUCGUUUGUCCCUUGGCUGAAAACCCAGGAAAAAUUUAAGUGACUCCAUAUUUCUUUCACAGUAGGGCACAGUUGGAAGACGUGGUUGCUAUCUUCUUCUCCUUGGCCACAUCUCAUACAUCGAUCCUCAGUCAUCACUUUUCUCAGCUUUAGAUUGGAGAAAGUGAGGAUGUAAUUUCAUGCUAUUUUCGACACUGUAAUUUUGAUUUUUGAGGGCAUGUGUAAAUUCCACAAUUUCCUGUAGAAACUUUUAGUAUUGGUCUGUAAAUAAAAACUAGGAUCUAUAUUAGCCUCCUGUAAUAGUUUAUAGGCACUCCUUACUGAAAAGUCUCCAGUUGCCUCCCCUCUCCACACUUAGGAAGUCUUCAUUGGUUGACUUUGAAAGCGGAAUCUGCAAUAUUUUCCUAGCAAUAUCCGUAUUGAAGGAAAAGCUUCAAGCUUUGGUUCUUCUUUGGAUGAUGCAUGAUCAAGAUCGGGUGGAAAAUCGAGGAGAAUGAACAAUUACCAAAAUGACCUUGUACUUUGACAUUUCUGCAAUUUAGCCAGAGUACAUUCGUGCUUUGGUAUAUUAUGGGGAUUUGGAGUGGAGACGGUAUUGGAGGGAGAUAUCAAUAUAUUACCCAAGUAAAUUGAAGUUCAGCAUUUGUUGCGAACUCUCGUGUUAUGCUUUCUAUUUAGCAUGAUUCGGGUGGACAGCUCUUUAGAGCUUUUGUUUAGCUCUUUUGUGCUUCUGUUCAGCUCUUAUGAGCUUCUGUUGGCGUGUUCGAGAGGAACAGCUCUUAUGAGCUUCUAUUGACGAUGUACUCUUAUAUGUAAGUCGUUCUUCGAAUGGAAAAUCUCAGUAAGGUAAUCUGUUUAAUGAA